CAGUAGCCGCGGUAAUACGUAGGUGGCAAGCGUUAAUCGGAAUUACUGGGCGUAAAGCGAGCGCAGACGGUUAUUUAAGCAGGAUGUGAAAUCCCCGGGCUUAACCUGGGAACUGCGUUCUGAACUGGAUAGCUAGAGUGUGUCAGAGGGGGGUAGAAUUCCACGUGUAGCAGUGAAAUGCGUAGAGAUGUGGAGGAAUACCGAUGGCGAAGGCAGCCCCCUGGGAUAAUACUGACGUUCAUGCUCGAAAGCGUGGGUAGCAAACAGGAUUAGAUACCCGGGUAGUCCCUGUCUCUUAUAC
rnacentral:rRNA from 1 species